GACAUAAUCGUGCAUAGAGAGCGGAGUCAACAUAGGACCGUGGAUUCUCGAGCACGCGACCAUUUUUACAAUUACCAGCGAAAUUUAUUAUAAUUGAGAGUUAAAUUGAUCUUAAAGUGGUGUCGAUACGCUUCCGGUUUUGGUUCCUUAUUGGAAGGAAGUUGGAAGAGUGCAGAGAUUAUCGCAGAGGAUCAUGGCGACGUUCUAUCUUUUGGACAUCCUUGGAAUUUCAUUGCUGUUGCACUUGAGCUUUAGUAUAUUGCUACUGGUCAUUUUGGUGCCUUUUAUGCUACUCGUUUAUCCGGUGUUAAAAUGGUUAAGAAAGGGUUGGAUACGUUUCGUAAAAUGGAAAUAUCCGAACGUGGUCGUGGUGGAAGAGAACAACAUUCGAACGAUCCUGGAUCAAUUUCGAAAUCACGGGAUUUGUACUUUGCUGAUACAAAGUCGCUCGAUCGCAGAAGGUAUUCGCGGCCACUUGGUACAUCUGACUACAUCCAGAAGGUUUCUUCGCGCAGGAUUAUCUACGAGAUGGGGUCUUUACGUAUGGAAGGAUCUUGAUUAUUUCUCCGUGGAUAAUCACUUGUUAAAUUCACCGUGUUCCUUCAGAGGUCGACCCAUCACAGAGUUCAACAUUCAGGACUAUGUGAGCGAUCUCACGUCGAAAUUCUUUCCAUUCGGACAACCACCGUGGCAGGUGCACGUAAUAAACUGUCUUCUUCGUGGAGAGGAGUACCAAAUCUGUCUGGUGAGGGUUCAUCAUCUGCUCCUUCAACAAGAACACCUAGCGUUGACCGACUUCCUUCCAUUGAGAUAUUCUACUGACAGUUGGGCGUGUCAGGAAGCGGACUCUCCUUUCACGAAUCUUUACUCGGAGCCAUCGGCACUUCCAAAACUUUAUCAGAAACUCACGGAGAGCUUCAGUAAUUAUUGGAACGAAUUUUUGUACAAUAACGAUCCAAACGAGAGACCAGAAAUCCUGAAGAAGCAGAUUGGUAUUUUUCAAUGCUUGAAAAUCGCUGUCAUCGUUUUAGUCUCUUCGGUGAAAGAGAUGACAAGACAGUACAGGAAAGGAGAGGGACCCAGAUUUCUCGACAUUUUCUCCAUCUUACAGCGAGAAGCCAGUAAACGAAACGUCGGUCAUACCGUCUUUCUACACGCUCUAUUAAAAUCUUUGAACCCUCUGCAAUUCUUCUGCGAUGCCAUCCUAUGGUGUUGGUAUCUAGCAGUCGUUAUAACUCUGAAAACGCCGAUAUUACUUAUCCGAGAGUUACAAGCUUUGAAAUCACGUCACAAACAUUAUCAUUCGGAUACUCUGACUUCUAUGUUAUGGUGCUACGUUCCUUUGAUAUAUCAAGCCACCAUAGAGGUGGUUUCCAUAGCGUGGAUUGCUAUAAAAGCGCCGAAGACAAUUUUCGAAGAAUUAUUUCUGAAGCAUCCGCAAGCCAAUCGACUUCAAAUUACGUCCCCUUGCGGACGAAAAGUAGUUGCUUGGUCGGAGGAGAUCAAACUCGAUGUUCUACGAAAAAUCUCGUCUAUGACAGGAGCGACAGAGGCGGAAGUUUUGUUAGCCGCUACGGUAGAUUCUCUUAAGGAAUACUUUCGCCAUUCUGGCGUUAGAAUACCGGACGAUGUGCUCGCCACUGGCAAAUUUGUCGAACAGAGGGCCAUAUUUCUGCGGAAUCACCAAGCCAGAGGCAUUUUGUGUCUUGCGCUUCCUACAAAGACUCCGCUAUUCGAAGAUGAUCUGGUGGAAAUCUUACAGGUUAUUCAGAAAAAUGUGCGCGAGGCAAGAGCAAAGCAAAGUGCGAUGUACGCCAUAACGGCAGCUGAAGAGUCUUGCGGAUUGAUUUCCUCCUGUUUGCCGUCGUUACUGCUCAAAGUGAUGUUAAAUCAGUUAACGAGAAGGUAUUCCCUCUCCUUGACACAUGUCAACGGAGAUGUGCCCGUAGAAGGCGUGGACGCGAUGAUGUAUUGGCGACCCCCUCAAGGCAACUGCAAUAUGUCGAUAACCCUACACAGGUACGGAAGCGGUGUGCGGCUAGGUGUGAUGGGCGACGCGUUAAUCGGUCCUGAACACGCCGUUAUCACGAGGACUUUCCCGAAAAGCAUGGAGAAUCUCGCGAACGUAGUUGGAGUUCCUAGAAUUCCCAGCAGAAACUCAACUCCGAGUCCAGUUAAUCCGAGUACUUCACCGGGACAUUAAAAAUGUACGGAGGCUAUGUAGAAUAGGUCACAUGUUUGUCUCCUGAGAAGAUAAAUCCGCGUUUUUUUCUCGGAAAUCGUGCGAAACUGCGAAUUCGAAAUUGAAAGCGAAAUUGAACUGGAUACCGGACCUUUAGAGGAAGACUUGUAUGUAGAAUUUAUUAACUCUGUCGGAUAAUAUUUAUAACUAUCUACGAUUGUCAUAUAUUUAAAAGAAAAAAAUUUCCAAUUUUUUUUUGGAAAUAGAUAAGCAAGAAAUAACGAAAAAGAUUGUGGCGGUGAUAUUUGUUACUUUUUUAUAAAUUUGUGAUGCAACGCUAUUUCUGUCUCCGUCCUUUUUGAUAUUAUCUUUUUUUUCAGCCACAUUCGAAUAAAUAAAAAUAAUCUGUUUCUUUCAACAUAUUGUAAGUAUAUAUAUUUAUACAAAUAUAUACAUUCGUAUCUAAUUUAUACAUACACUUUCAGCAAUUUAUAUUUUGCGGCAAUGCAUAACGCAUUAUAAAGAUUAAGAAAUUAAAUCUCCUUCUUAUUACUUGUUACAAUGGUUUCUAGUUUUUAAGUAUUAUACGUUACAACUGUUACAGUUGACAGAAGAUAUUUCAUUUUUUUAACAAGACAUUUCUUUCCAUGAAUCACAACUUUCGUUUUAGCUUGACUUUGCAUAAACAGAACAACGUUAGGGAAGUUAAUUUGACAAUUUGAUUCCCAUCUUUGUAUCGAGUAUUUAAAAAGUUGUCAAUUUUGAUGAAAAUUAAUUACAAAAGGGAUCAUUUAUCAGGACCUUGUCAUUUUAAUUAACAAAAUUAUGUUAUUUAACGAGAAGAGUGUCACGAUUUCAAAACUGUUUAACGCUACACUUAGAUUAUCCUAAUUAAUAGUAAGCGACGUAACUAAACAAUAUUUGACUAAAAAAUAAUAUAUAUCAAGGCUAAAAAAUUAUUAUCUAAAUUUUAAAAGGAAAUAAAUGCUUCCAUCGCUGGUUAGGUUAUUAAUUACUUCCUGUUUAAAAAUUUCUAUUUCAUACCAAUGUGUUUCGAAAAAUUUACUUUUCCUAAUUGUGCCAUUUUUUCACAAACUCACGAUAUACAUGCGAAAUUGAGAUCAAGACAAAAAGAACCGUAAUUCCAUUAGUUUUCGAAAAUAAAUUAUUAAAGCUUCUGCAUGAGUCAAAUUGUAAGUCACAUGUAUGCUAUAGGGCGCAUACUCUAGUACCUCAUUGUGAGUGCACAUAUACAAAUAUUAGCGAUGAUACGUUAUACAUUGCAUAUGUACAUACGUAUACCUUAUAAAAAACGUAACACAUUGUACACAACGUUAAAGUCGUACGUAAUUCGUAGGCAAAAAUUAAAAUUGAAUAACUCUUUCUUAUGUUAUGAUAUAGUACUAUAGAAUGAUGUAAUAUUAUUAUAGUUACUUACUAAUAUUCUUU